rnacentral:rRNA from 1 species
AUUGAACGCUGGCGGCAGGCUUAACACAUGCAAGUCGAGCGGGGUGAUGGUGCUUGCACUAUCACUUAGCGGCGGACGGGUGAGUAAUGCUUAGGAAUCUGCCUAUUAGUGGGGGACAACAUCUCGAAAGGGAUGCUAAUACCGCAUACGUCCUACGGGAGAAAGCAGGGGAGCACUUGUGACCUUGCGCUAAUAGAUGAGUCUAAGUCGGAUUAGCUAGUUGGUGGGGUAAAGGCCUACCAAGGCGACGAUCUGUAGCGGGGCUGAGAGGAUGAUCCGCCACACUGGGACUGAGACACGGCCCAGACUCCUACGGGAGGCAGCAGUGGGGAAUAUUGGACAAUGGGGGGAACCCUGAUCCAGCCAUGCCGCGUGUGUGAAGAAGGCCUUAUGGUUGUAAAGCACUUUAAGCGAGGAGGAGGCUCUUUUGGUUAAUACCCAAGAUGAGUGGACGUUACUCGCAGAAUAAGCACCGGCUAACUCUGUGCCAGCCGCCGCCGUAA